rnacentral:rRNA from 1 species
GACAGAGGGUGCAAACGUUGUUCGGAAUUACUGGGCGUAAAGCGUGUGUAGGCGGCUACGCAAGUCGGAUGUGAAAUCCCCGGGCUCAACCCGGGAAGUGCACCCGAAACUGCGUGGCUUGAGUACCGGAGAGGUUGGUGGAAUUCUCGGUGUAGAGGUGAAAUUCGUAGAUAUCGAGAGGAACACCGGUGGCGAAGGCGGCCAACUGGACGAGUACUGACGCUGAGACACGAAAGCGUGGGGAGCAAACAGG